rnacentral:tRNA from 1 species
ACCUUUAUAGCAUAGUGGUAGUGCAUUUGCUUCGUAAGUGAAAGGUUGUGAGUUUAAUCCUCAUUAGAGGUU